GACAGCUCAGUCAGUAGAGCAUAAGACUCUUAAUCUCAGGAUUGUGGGUUCAAGCCCCAUGUUGGGCA